rfam:Trichobilharzia regenti genome assembly, scaffold: TRE_scaffold0057222
GUACUGAUGAAGAGUCCCAAACUAGGCUGACGAAACGGCUGUCCAGUAC